GACGAACGCUGGCGGCGGGCUUAACACAUGCAAGUCGAACGGAAAGGCCCUGCUUUUGUGGGGUGCUCGAGUGGCGAACGGGUGUGUAACACGGGAGUAACCUGCCCUUGACUUUGGGAUAACUUCAGGAAACUGGGGCUAAUACCUGAUAUGAGCUCCUGCUGCAUUGUGGGGGUUGUAAAGUCUCGGCGGUUGGGGAUGGACUCGCGGCGGAUCAGCUUGUGGGUGGGGUAGUGGCUUACCAAGGCUUUGACGGGUAGCCGGCCUGAGAGGGUGACCGGCCACAUUGGGACUGAGAUAAGGCCCAGAAUGCUACGGGAGGCAGCAGUGGGGAAUAUUGCAAGAUGGGAGGAAGCCUGAUGCAGCAACGCCGAGUGCGGGAUGAUGGACUUCGGGUUGUAACCCGCUUUCGCCUGUGACGAAGCGUGAGUGACGGUAAUGGGUAAAGAAGCACCGGCUAACUCCGUG
rnacentral:rRNA from 1 species